rnacentral:lncRNA from 1 species
AAUUCAGUGCAUUUGCAAAUACUUUGAAAAUAUGCCAAAAUAAAAAAAAGGAAUACUCAGCGUUCAGCCAGUGGACCGAAGCAGCGUCUGUUGCACAGUACUUCCAGUUUUAUGGCUGCAUUUCUCAACAGCAGAACAUGAUGCAAGAUUUUGUGAGGACAGCCACUUACCACAGAGCCGUCCUCCAGAAUCACAUUGACUUUAGAGACAAGGUGGUUCUAGAUGUUGGUUGUGGAUCAGGAAUCCUGUCAUUUUUUGCUGUACAGGCUGGAGCUAGGACAGUUUAUGCAGUUGAAGCCAGUUCAGUACAGUAGCACAGUAUGCUGAGUAGAGACAGCGUUUCACUGUGUUAGCCAGGAUGGUCGCGAUCUCCUGACCUCGUGAUCCACCCGCCUCAGCCUCCCAGAGUGCUGGGAUUACAGGCGUGAGCCACGGUGCCUGGCCAGUGGUUGUAUUUUUAAGGCAAUUACCAAGUGGGUCUUUAGUAUACCU